UGCAAGUCGAACGAACUCUGGUAUUGAUUGGUGCUUGCAUCAUGAUUUACAUUUGAGUGAGUGGCGAACUGGUGAGUAACACGUGGGAAACCUGCCCAGAAGCGGGGGAUAACACCUGGAAACAGAUGCUAAUACCGCAUAACAACUUGGACCGCAUGGUCCGAGCUUGAAAGAUGGCUUCGGCUAUCACUUUUGGAUGGUCCCGCGGCGUAUUAGCUAGAUGGUGGGGUAACGGCUCACCAUGGCAAUGAUACGUAGCCGACCUGAGAGGGUAAUCGGCCACAUUGGGACUGAGACACGGCCCAAACUCCUACGGGAGGCAGCAGUAGGGAAUCUUCCACAAUGGACGAAAGUCUGAUGGAGCAACGCCGCGUGAGUGAAGAAGGGUUUCGGCUCGUAAAACUCUGUUGUUAAAGAAGAACAUAUCUGAGAGUAACUGUUCAGGUAUUGACGGUAUUUAACCAGAAAGCCACGGCUAACUACGUGCCAGCAGCCGCGGUAAUACGUAGGUGGCAAGCGUUGUCCGGAUUUAUUGGGCGUAAAGCGAGCGCAGGCGGUUUUUUAAGUCUGAUGUGAAAGCCUUCGGCUCAACCGAAGAAGUGCAUCGGAAACUGGGAAACUUGAGUGCAGAAGAGGACAGUGGAACUCCAUGUGUAGCGGUGAAAUGCGUAGAUAUAUGGAAGAACACCAGUGGCGAAGGCGGCUGUCUGGUCUGUAACUGACGCUGAGGCUCGAAAGUAUGGGUAGCAAACAGGAUUAGAUACCCUGGUAGUCCAUACCGUAAACGAUGAAUGCUAAGUGUUGGAGGGUUUCCGCCCUUCAGUGCUGCAGCUAACGCAUUAAGCAUUCCGCCUGGGGAGUACGGCCGCAAGGCUGAAACUCAAAGGAAUUGACGGGGGCCCGCACAAGCGGUGGAGCAUGUGGUUUAAUUCGAAGCUACGCGAAGAACCUUACCAGGUCUUGACAUACUAUGCAAAUCUAAGAGAUUAGACGUUCCCUUCGGGGACAUGGAUACAGGUGGUGCAUGGUUGUCGUCAGCUCGUGUCGUGAGAUGUUGGGUUAAGUCCCGCAACGAGCGCAACCCUUAUUAUCAGUUGCCAGCAUUAAGUUGGGCACUCUGGUGAGACUGCCGGUGACAAACCGGAGGAAGGUGGGGAUGACGUCAAAUCAUCAUGCCCCUUAUGACCUGGGCUACACACGUGCUACAAUGGAUGGUACAACGAGUUGCGAACUCGCGAGAGUAAGCUAAUCUCUUAAAGCCAUUCUCAGUUCGGAUUGUAGGCUGCAACUCGCCUACAUGAAGUCGGAAUCGCUAGUAAUCGCGGAUCAGCAUGCCGCGGUGAAUACGUUCCCGGGCCUUGUACACACCGCCCGUCACACCAUGAGAGUUUGUAACACCCAAAGUCGGUGGGGUAACCUUUUAGGAACCAGCCGCCUAAGGU
rnacentral:rRNA from 1 species